rnacentral:pre_miRNA from 7 species
UAUUACCUGUGCUAAUGAAAGACCCCCGAAGGGAGACCCUCACUCAAGCCUCGGGACAGCCGCGGACCCAAGAAGACACUGAGACCG